rnacentral:snRNA from 1 species
GUGUUCGCUUCAGCAGCACGUAUACUAAAAUUGGAACGAUACAGAAAAGAUUAGCAUGGCCCUUGCACAAGGAGGACACAAAAAUUUAAAAAG